GACGUAGGGUCCAAGCGUUGUCCGGAUUUACUGGGCGUAAAGAGCUCGUAGGCGGCUCGGUAAGUCGGAUGUGAAACCUCCAGGCUCAACCUGGAGACGCCAUCUGAUACUGCCGUGGCUUGAGUCCGGUAGAGGAGCAGGGAAUUCCUGGUGUAGCGGUGAAAUGCGCAGAUAUCAGGAGGAACACCAGCGGCGAAGGCGCUGCUCUGGGCCGGUACUGACGCUGAGGAGCGAAAGCGUGGGGAGCGAACAGG
rnacentral:rRNA from 1 species